rnacentral:tRNA from 1 species
GUGGGAUCGUGGUUCAGAGGCAGAGCACUUGCCUGGCAUGUAUGAGGCACUGGGUUCGAUCCUCAGCACCACG